GGCGAACGCUGGCGGCGUGCUUAACACAUGCAAGUCGAACGGUAAGGCUCCAGCUUGCUGGGGUACACGAGUGGCGAACGGGUGAGUAACACGUGGGUGACCUGCCCUGCACUUCGGGAUAAGCCUGGGAAACUGGGUCUAAUACCGGAUAGGACCGCACCGUGAGGGUGUGGUGGAAAGUUUUUUCGGUGUGGGAUGGGCCCGCGGCCUAUCAGCUUGUUGGUGGGGUAAUGGCCUACCAAGGCGGCGACGGGUAGCCGGCCUGAGAGGGUGGACGGCCACAUUGGGACUGAGACACGGCCCAGACUCCUACGGGAGGCAGCAGUGGGGAAUAUUGCACAAUGGGCGGAAGCCUGAUGCAGCGACGCCGCGUGGGGGAUGACGGCCUUCGGGUUGUAAACUCCUUUCACCAUCGACGAAGGGUUUCUGACGGUAGAUGGAGAAGAAGCACCGGCUAACUACGUG
rnacentral:rRNA from 1 species